GCCUGUCUAGUGGUUAGGAUUCCUGGCUCUCUCCCAGGCGGCCUGGGUUCGAUUCCCGGCAUGGGAA
rnacentral:tRNA from 1 species